rnacentral:rRNA from 1 species
UAAUACAGAGGGUGCAAGCGUUAAUCGGAAUUACUGGGCGUAAAGCGCGCGUAGGUGGUUUGUUAAGUUGGAUGUGAAAUCCCCGGGCUCAACCUGGGAACUGCAUUCAAAACUGACUGACUAGAGUAUGGUAGAGGGUGGUGGAAUUUCCUGUGUAGCGGUGAAAUGCGUAGAUAUAGGAAGGAACACCAGUGGCGAAGGCGACCACCUGGACUAAUACUGACACUGAGGUGCGAAAGCGUGGGAAGCAAACAGGAUUAGAUACCCUGGUAGUCCACGCCGUAAACGAUGUCAACUAGCCGUUGGGAGCCUUGAGCUCUUAGUGGCGCAGCUAACGCAUUAAGUUGACCGCCUGGGGAGUACGGCCGCAAGGUUAAA